CACUUUUGUUAACAGUAUUUCUCUUUUAUUCUGUUAUAUAGUGGAUGAUAUACACAGUGGCAAAACAAAAGUACAUUGCUUAAAAUAUAUAGUGAAAAAUGUCACUAUAUCUUCCCAUUUAACAUUGUUUUUGUAUAUUGGGUGUAGAUUUCUGACAUCAAAACUUGGACCCUUGGAAAACAAAAGUUUUAAUUAAAAAAAAUCCUUGUGACUUACAAUUUGCACAAUAUUUCUUUUGUUGUACUUUAUAUCUUGUUUACAAUAAAGAAUUCCCUUUGGUAUAUGGAAUG
rnacentral:lncRNA from 1 species